GACUGCCGGUGACAAACCGGAGGAAGGUGGGGAUGACGUCAAAUCAUCAUGCCCCUUAUGAUUUGGGCUACACACGUGCUACAAUGGACAAUACAAAGGGCAGCGAAACCGCGAGGUCAAGCAAAUCCCAUAAAGUUGUUCUCAGUUCGGAUUGUAGUCUGCAACUCGACUAUAUGAAGCUGGAAUCGCUAGUAAUCGUAGAUCAGCAUGCUACGGUGAAUACGUUCCCGGGUCUUGUACACACCGCCCGUCACACCACGAGAGUUUGUAACACCCGAAGCCGGUGGAGUAACCAUUUGGAGCUAGCCGUCGAAGGUGGGACAAAUGAUUGGGGUGAAGUCGUAACAAGGUAGCCGUAUCGGAAGGUGCGGCUGGAUCACCUCCUUUCUAAGGA
rnacentral:rRNA from 1 species